UGUGCAUCAAGAAUGUUAUGGGGUAAACAACGUCCAAGACUUCACUUCAUGGGUUUGCAGGGCAUGUGAAACGCCUGAUGUGAGGAGGCAGUGUUGUCUUUGUCCGGUAGAAGGGUGUGCUUUGAAGCCAACGGAUAUCGAGCCGCUCUGGGUUCAUGUCACAUGUGCGUGGUUUCGCCCUGAAGUUGGUUUUCUAAAUCAUGAGAAAAUGGAACCGGCCACUGGAAUACUUAGAAUUCCUCCAACUUCUUUUUUGAAGAGUUGUGUAAUAUGUAAGCAGACUCAUGGUUCCUGCACUCAAUGCAGCAUAUGUCCUACUUAUU